rnacentral:rRNA from 1 species
UACGGGGGGUGCGAGCGUUGUCCGGAAUCACUGGGCGUAAAGAGCUCGUAGGCGGCCUGUUGCGUCCGCUGUGAAAGCCCGGGGCUUAACCCCGGGUCGGCAGUGGAUACGGGCAGGCUAGAGGUAGGUAGGGGAGAAUGGAAUUCCCGGUGUAGCGGUGAAAUGCGCAGAUAUCGGGAGGAACACCGGUGGCGAAGGCGGUUCUCUGGGCCUUACCUGACGCUGAGGAGCGAAAGCGUGGGGAGCGAACAGG